GCUCUCCGUUCGUUGCUGCAGAUCGAGUGUGCGAAGCGAACGCGAAGGCAUGCGUUGUGAUUAUGCUCUCCCGAACCGACGUCUUUUUUUCGCGCAGGCAGGUUACUACUGCUUUCCGGUUCGUUGAUUUGGCUCUUUGGACUGCUGAGUGGUUCUGUCAACGGAUUAGUUUUUAGUUACCAUUGAGAGCUCUUACCGCUUGGUUGGUGUUUUAUGCUGUGCGAUUUCGGUUGAUUCUGUAGGCGUCGCAGCUGUGCGUUGUUCUUGAGCAGUAGUUACCUCCGUUAGUUGUUAUCAUUGGCGUGAUACACGAGAGUGGAAUUGGGUGCAUUAUGAUUUCGGAGAUUACACCAUAUAUUAUGCCGCUUGCUCUCCUGUGUCGUUAACGAGUGAAAGUGAAAACGAAUCAAAACAAAAUAAAUAAGCAUGUCAAAUUGGCGGUAAUAAAGCAGUGAGUGCGUGAUUUUUUUUUGUUGUGGGGAACGCAGGAGCAAGUGAUGAAGUGGGAAAUUUUCCAAUGGUUAAAUCUCGUUUGCACGGAUUAAAACAAGUGGUAUUUUCGAAGGCAUUAAUUUGAUAGUAGAAGAAUUAAAAAUAUGGGAUAGAUGUAAAAUGUGUCGCCGAAUGUCGUUUCGUCUGUUCUAAUACAUAGCAUCGACGUGGAUUCGCAAAUUCAGUGUGGCGCGCAGAGCAUAUACAAAUUCACUGAGACCAAGUAUUUUGAUACCAAGCGAAAAAAACCGAUUGGCGUGGAAUACCUUCAUCAACGAAAAGUAGGAAAAAGGCGUACAUCGACUAAUGAUAAUUUAAGGCGACGAUGUUUGUCACUAGCAAUUGUGUGUCUGAGGGACCAGACCGAUUGUGAACAGAAAAUAUCAAAAUUUAACAAGUGCGUGUAGUGGGUCUGCGGUACAAGUGUCUCAGUUUCGUGUGUUGGUGGGCUUUUGUUGUGCAAUUUCUCAGAUUGUUCCGCUUGGCACUGUAGUGAAGAUAGUGUUAGCAAAUUGGAUUACAACCAGCAGGGAGUUGCGGAUAAUUUUUAUGACAGCAAUAACUUCGAUUUAUCGGCAUGGCACUCAGAACCAGUUCGACCCGGAUAAAACGUCCUCAAGUGAAAUUUGCUACCUCAAUCCUGCUGCUGAUGAUGGUGACGGGAGCCAAGUCGUAUAUGCUUCCUACUGAAACGCUCGGGACGGGUCUUACGACCGAGCAGUAUGAGUAUGAUUGUUUUCCGGCAGCUAUGAAAGAAAACCUCCUGCCACGGUUCGCGUCACGCAACCAAAACGACUCGAUCGCCAUCCAAGUGAGCAGACGAUACACCCACCAAAUCAUCUCGCGUAUCUACAGCAUCUUUCUGCGUGAGAUACUAGGAUAUCGGAACGUGAAACUGGUUGAUCUCUACGAGCGGACGCAUGAAAUCGAACGAGAGCGGCUGUUUGUAACACUGGAGAAUCUGGUUUCAGACGGCACCAGCUGGCCGGAGCCGACGAUUGAUCUGGAAGUUUGGAUGCUAUCGGACUACCACAUCAUUCCGCCGGAAAUCGAAGAAGCAGGUGCCAUUACGCAUCCGGGUCGAUUUGGAUUGUUCAUACCGAAACCGCUGAUCCGGAAGGAGGAUGCCUUCCCCAAGAUGUACCCAUACACCAUGUUCCAGGAAAAUCAAAACGACCGCAGCUACUAUGAGCUGAUAAAAAAGUUCGAGGUAGUGGACAGUGUGCUGGAUGAGUUGAAAAAAUGGUCAGAGAAACGAUGCUCCAUUGACUGCAAUCGGGACGGUAUGUACGUGCCGGAACAGUGUGCGCAAGGGAAAAAGUGCGCUCUCGUGCUGGCGCCGCACUACGAGGAUACUAAAUUCAUAGUGAAGCAUAUCGAUGAGCUCAAAUUUCAACUGAAAGUUAUCUGGCUAGGUGGGAAAAUUAAACAUGGCAUAAACUACCUGAUGAAACAGUACGGUGGUGAUCGGAAAAUGUCCAAGAAAUUUUUGGUUCUGCACUGGUCCCCAUCGGAAGUAAUUGACAGCAAAACGGUGGAAUAUGUGUCGGUAACGAUGCCGCGAUGUGAGGACAUUAUAGUAAGCAAUAAUACCGGCUGCAAGUACGAGUUGACUCCAUUGCUCAAAUAUCACGCUCAUGAGUUCGAAACCUCCCAGCAUGCCCUCCAGUCCUUGCUGAGAGUUUAUUUUGAUAAACAGGAUAUACACGCGCUAAUAGACUUGUACGACAAAUACGAAGAACAAAUCCUGCAAGCAAGGGACGAAACGACUAUGGAGUAUGACGAACAUGCUGUGUCGAAACGUUACAAUCAAAUAGCUUGUGAAUGGCUGAAGGCAAGCGAAACAAGAUGGCACGAGUGGAAACCUAAGGGGGAGGUUAAGGAAGACAUUUAUAUAGGAGGAAUCUUUCCCCUUUCGGGUCUCGGCAAAACAUAUUUAGGCAUCAUGCCGGCAGCCGUAAUGGCACAGCAGGCGGUUAAUCUCAAUAACACAAUUUUACCCAAUCAUCGACUUAUCAUUCUCAAGAGCGACGGCCAAUGUCGCGCAGAUACUGUUAUGAAAACCUUCAUCAAUUACUAUAUCAGACAGGAACGGAUGAUUGGAGUUCUGGGGCCGGCUUGCAGUGACACUGUCGAACCCAUUGCAGGUGUCUCCAAGCACUUUCGAAUGGCCGUCAUCUCCUAUUCCGCCGAGGGAGCCUUUCUUUCAGAUCGUGAAACUUAUCCGUACUUCUUUCGCACGAUUGGUGAAAAUAGACAGUAUGAGCACGUAUACGCACGGCUGUUGAAGCAACUGAACUGGAAUAGAGUUGCCGCUCUGACGGAGGAUGGCCAAAAAUCAACCGAAUACAUUUCCCACAUGGAAACACUACUCAAGGAGAAUGACAUUGAGCUAAUUUCGAACAAAAAAUUUCCCCGCGACCGUGGCGAAACUGAAAUGAAGCGGUACCUGUUGGAUUUGAAAUCGAAAAAUGCCCGAAUCAUCAUUGCCGAUGUCGAUGACAAGGUGGCUCAGGUGAUAAUGUGCGAGGCGUUCAAGCUAGAGAUGACAGCGGAGAACGGCUACAUCUGGUUCCUACCGGUUUGGCUGUCCAAUCAGUGGAACCAAAGUCAGGCCGAUCCCAGCGGGCCGCAGGCCAAGUGUACGCCACGAGAAAUGCUCCGAGCAAUCAACGGUCACUUUUCACUAUCGCAUGCUCCAUUCGCCAACGAUCAAAACGCGCUAGACGUCAGCAAUACCACGGUCGGGGAGUGGAGAUCGGAUUAUAGCGAGAUUUUGCAGCAGCACAAUUUGCUGCCAUCGGAUUAUGCCGGAUAUGCGUACGAUGCGGUUUGGGUCUAUGCACUGGCACUUGACAAACUAAUUCGUGAAGACCCGUCAUAUUUGAGUGACCUUCAUUCGCCGAAAACGACCAAGCGAUUGAUGGAGGUUAUCAGGGCGACUGAUUUCCAAGGAGUAUCCGGACGGAUCCGCUUCGGAGAAGAAGGUUCGCGUUAUGCAAUUAUCAAUGUGCUGCAGUGGAUCAACGGGACGCCAAAUAUCGUGGGACAGUUCACACCAAAUAUUUCCGAAAGUGAGUAUCAACUGAUGGGUGGAACUCUGACGCUGAAUCAAUCGGCGAUCGUUUGGAUGACCCGGGACGGGAAGGUUCCAGAUGAUGGUGCGCUGGAUUGCAAUCUAAGUGGAUUGGCGAGGUUUUUCGGAACGGACUGUGAUGGAGCUGUGUUGAUCUUCACCGGAUUCAUGUGUGUGUUGGCGAUUGCCAUGAUUUCGCUUGCCUCGUUCUGUUUCUUCCAAAUUCGGUACGAUCGCAAGAUAAAAACAUCAGCCAAGUAUUUGCAGAAGUUUGGAAUUGAUUUGCUGUCACCUUCAUCGAUUCCACUUAACACGCUAGAUAAAUGGGAGAUUCCAAAGGAUCGUGUUGUGAUUAAUCGAAGGUUAGGCGAGGGAGCUUUCGGAACGGUAUACGGAGGAGAAGCGCAAAUCGAUGGAGAAGGCUGGACCGCCGUUGCAGUUAAAACAUUAAAAAUUGGAUCUACUACUGAGGAUAAGGUCGAUUUUCUUUCAGAAGCAGAGGCCAUGAAACGAUUUGAUCACAACAAUAUUGUGAAACUUCUCGGCGUUUGUCUACAGACCGAACCCGUUUACACGGUUAUGGAGUUUAUGCUGUAUGGAGAUUUGAAAACUUAUUUACUGGCUCGAAGACACCUGGUCGGAAACAAACAGUCGGACGAGUCAGACAUAUCUCCCAAGCGCUUGACGAUGAUGGCACUUGAUGUUUCAAGAGCCCUUUCUUAUUUGGCCGAACAAAAAUACGUACAUAGGGAUAUUGCCUGUCGAAACUGUAUGGUUAAUGCUCAGCGAGUGGUUAAGCUUGGUGAUUUCGGUAUGGCACGUCCAACUUUUGAAAAUGAUUAUUAUCGAUUUAAUCGUAAAGGAAUGCUUCCAGUAAGAUGGAUGGCCCCCGAAUCGCUGGCUUUGGGUGUAUUCACCCCAGCAUCCGAUGUGUGGUCAUAUGCGGUACUAUUAUACGAAAUUAUCACAUUCGGAUCGUUCCCGUUCCAAGGAAUGACAAACAACCAGGUAUUGGAACAUCUCAAAAGAGGAAACUGUUUGACUACCCCCGCUGGUGUCAGACCUCAAUUAGAGGGUCUCAUGAAAGCUUGCUGGAAUCAAGAUUACAAAAAGCGUCCCAGUGCAUCAGAAGUGGCUGAGUUCAUUUCAAACUACCCCCGAUUAUUAAGCCCAUGUAUGGACGUUCCACUAGCUUCGGUUCAGAUGCCCGAAACAGACAGCGACCAGUUUGAAUUGCUGCCGGGACUAAGAAAGCGCAAAGACGAACCAACUGCUGACAUUUUGGUUGGUACCCCUCAGAUAAAUGAUCUUAACCAAUCACCAAGUGGUUACACCGGAAUGAAUAUGCGGCCGGGAAUAAAUUUAAAUGAUCUGAACGUUGGAACAGAUUUUCGACACUGUGAUGACACGGUACCAACGACUGAUACCACAACCACAAAUGGAUCGGUCGGAUUGAACGUGUACAACCCAAUUGAGCCGUUGUUGCAACGUGACACGGAGAUAUCGAAAAGUAACAACAGUCUUCUGCGGUAUGUGCCCAUGUUUGGUUUCGGUAAAAACCGUGCUCCAGUGUUGAUAACACACUCUAACGGGACUGUUACAAUUGGAAAUCGUAGCACCAGUACCAGUGUUUUAUAGCAUCGAGUAGAUCUCGUUGGCACUGGAAAAUCCGCUACUAAACCAAAGUCGGCACCAGAACAUCCUGACCGGAAGAAUUCUUGCUAAGUACUAGGCAAUAGGCUUAGACACCUACAUGAUCUGAUGAUGGCGGUCUCGCGCGAGACUAAGCAAUGAGAAAUAUUUAAAUAAUGCCUAAACAAUGAACGAAAUCUUUUCGCAUGUAUUCAACAAACUAGUCGGCCACCGUCGGGUGGCAAAGGAUUGCUCUCAACUAUUGUUUUAGUUAUGUGUGCGUGUGCUAUAGAAACAAUACACGGGGAUCCAAAAGGAUUGGAUUCGAAUCUAAACAAACAAAUGGAAACGAAUAUUAACCUAAGGGAAUCAAACUAAGCAUGUAUCAAUCAACUACCUCGUUGCAGCGACAACCCACUUCGGAGUUACUAAGCAAGCAUUUGCAAAAGCGACCAUAGAACAACGAGAAUAAAUAGCAUAGAGUGAAUAAUAGAAACAAGACUGAUUAGCACUGUAAGCAAACACCACUCGAAUGGACAAAGGUUGCAUGGUUAAUAUACGUUGCUGUUGAUUAACUUUCUGUUGGCAGUAUUGACACUCAUCAGAAUAGUUGAUAAAUAAUAGUUAAUUUUUUUUGUGUGACACUCGGGCGGUUUAUCAGCGACAAUGAUUGCAUGAAAGGAAAAUAAACUAAAUAAUCCAUAUUUUUUCUAUCGAAGCUAUUUUAAGGAAAAUUAUAUCAAAGAGAAACUAUAAUUACAAUCAUUU